rnacentral:misc_RNA from 1 species
UUAUCUCUCACCUUGUCCAGGAUUACGAACAAACUCCAACAAUAACCGUACUAUACAACGUCAUUUCGGGACUUUCAAGGUGCAUGUUAUGCAAUCCAUACGAAUGGAAGGUCUCCGCUAUCCCUGCAAGGCUCAACCGAGUUGUUUCUGAGACAAUUCAAAUCAAGGGCUUAACUCUCUCUAAGGGUCAAUCUAUCUUUAUUCCCGUGAUGGCAAUACACAGAGACCCUCAGCUCGACGAGGAUCCUGAUUCCUUCAGGCCAGAAAGGCAUGAAGAACAAGCCAAAACUAUUUCCUACCAAGCAUUCGGAUUUGGCCCAAGGAUCUGUAUUGGGAUGCGCCAGCUCUGGUUGAGGUUAAAGUAGCCUUGGCUAACGUUCUGAGGACUGUGAAGUUUGAAUGCUUACUCGACACGGACAAGGAUUCUUUCAUAAACAUUUGUCACCACCAUGUCUAUCUUCCUCUUCCAAUAAGGGGUCCACUACUUAAGAGGUGGUUCUGGAUAUUCAGAAACAUAUGACUAGAUCCUCCUUUUCAAGAUAUAUAUGUAUGGCGUGAUGAAGAUACAGCAAAAAUAUUUACAAACAACUAACCGAUGUAGGAAACAAAAUUGACUUCACACAAAUGAAACAGAAAUGAAACACAUCACUCCACUUGGUCUGGGUUAUCAUAGUUCAGGAAUAACAUACAGCGUCAGGGUUAUCAUACAACAUCCAUGUUAUCGUACAAACGUAUGACAACUUCAGUUCGACAUAACAUUUAACAUGGGCCAGUUCGCCAUGCAGACCACACCUUCGAGAGAAUGCAAUUCUAUUUUCGUUUUUGACAACAUCUAUUUUAAAUUUUGGUUACACUGUGUCAAAUGAAUAACAAGAAAGGAGAACAAAAUACCAGCACUGAUCAUUGUUGGUGGAGAACAGUCACCUGUAUGAUGGAAUGAGGAUAGCUUGUUUCUGAAGGUAGUUCACCCUUCCUGCUCCUGAUUAGGUAGCAGCGCACACUCUCAUUCAUUUCACAAUGGCAUAUGUCGUGGUUUGUUCACAGGAUGUUUUGACGUUUGCUCGGAAUCCAACCAUUCUUGAAACCAAAGAGGAUAUCAUGUUGAAAGUGUCUCCAAGAUGUUAAAGGCCUCGGAGAAGUACCAACAGAUCACAGAAUAUGUCGAAAUAUACUUACACGAUACUUACAUAUCAAUACCAUAAAAAAACAAUCACUAACUUUUGGUUUGCCACUUCUAAUUAUAUAUCACUUGGAAGUACGUAUCUUUGCAUGCAUGUGAAUUCCUCAGCAUGUUGUUUAAAAUUGUGUUGGAAAUGAAAAGCAGUGCCAUUUUAUUAUGACAGUAAUCUGUAGGAAGCGAUGUCUUGGUAUCACAAUGUAUAUAUGAGUGAGUGAGUUGGGUUUAACGCUGCUUUUAAAGGAAUUACAGUUAUAAUGUAGCGUGUCAGCUAAAUGAGGGAGGAAAGCCCAAAGUGUUGCAGGUCUCAUAAUCAGACGAUUACCACUUUGGUGAAACCCAUGAGUAUGGGUAUGGUGCUGACAAACCUAGAAACACAAUCGGGGCGAACCGGGAAUCGAAUCCACAAUCAUAGGUUUCUUGCAUGCCGAAAGAAAGCAACUCUGCACAGCGAAUUGAGGUACCUUAGGCGACUUGGCAACCCGUGACCCCAGAAUGAGUCAACGACAACUUCAUGUGUACACAUGCCAGAUCCUUUUCUGGUUCCAAGAAUAUUUUGAUGCCCUGGGAUAACUUGUGAAUAACAUUUGUCCAAAACUGUAAAGAAUAUUUUACGUCUUUCACCAAUAGAGUAUCAAUAUAGUUGUCAACAUUCGUCAUGUAGAGUAUCAAUACAGUUGUCAAUAUUCGUUUUAGUCAUAGGAAAUUGU